rnacentral:lncRNA from 10 species
UUAAGUUCUUACCUUCCAAGUUGAGAUGCAAAGAGAUGAACUGAGAAUAGGAGAACAGCACAGUGGGGUACACAUGAAGAGCUUAUCACAAUUCCCCUUAGUAACGGCUUGGACAGGUGAAAGUCAGCAAGCUUCCCAGUAGACCAAUUGAUCUGAGUUGCCUCUCUGGCCAGAAGCCAGCCCUGGCAGGGAUCCAACUUCCUCUCAAGCACUGAGAAAGGGCUCAGGUGUAUCUGGUGGCCGGCAGAGCAGGUAGUCAGCCAAGGCUUCAUAGUUCUCACCCACGGCAAUUCAGCUAGCAAACUAGAGACACUUCCCCAAGAAGACACAGCGUGGCAAGACUGCUGAGACGCAUAAAGAAAUCUUAGCUGGAAUGCCUUCUCAGAAUCUUGAUUUUCAAAGUGAUGGAUUGGGAGAUCCCAAGCCAUGAAUAAAGGGUGCUCAUCACAGAUGGAACAAUGGCGAGAGCACACCUGGACAGGGGAGGGGCAGGAGUUCUGAUUCCUGACACAGGUUUCCUGGUUGAAUGUUCUGUUGUAGAAGAAUGCAACUGAGUUUUCUAAACAGAUCUUCUUCUUGACAUCCUUGCUGAACGAGAGCAAAGGAGACAGCUGGGAGCAGAUGGGCAAAUCCCAGUUUGCCCAAAGAAAUGUCUAUUUUCCAAGGGGCAUGAAGAAUUUAGGAAUAAAGCAGAUCUGAUUUCUAAUUCUGACUUUGCUACUGGCAAAUUGUGUGGACUCAGGAAAGUGACCGGCCCUCUUUAAGACUCAGUGUGCUUACCUCUGAAAUGGAGCUGUCAAUCACAUCUGCCUCACAGGCUUGUUCUGAGGAUGAAGUGAGAAAAUGCCCACGAGGUGCUGGUUGCAGCAGCUGGUGCAUAGAGCUUAAAAAGGAUGCAGUCCCAAAACAUAGAAGGAUUUACUCCAGAUCCAAGCAAUGAGUCAGGAACAGAAAGCCUGAUGCCCUCACCUGGAACUCUCCCUCCUCCCUGGAUGAGGACCUUCCCCAGAAUUGCAGGGCACCCACACAAGACCAAGCAAGUUCAGAGAAAAUUGAAACCUGACUUUAGAGCCUCUGGGAUGUUCACUACACCUCAUUGAACCUGUUUGGUUCACAGAGCUCCAACUACCGUCUACUUCCUGCAACUGGCCUGCUGCCAACUCCCCAGAUCUCUUGUGGAGCUGCCGGAAGAGACAGCCUGCCACAGAAGAAAGCAGCCCUCCUCUUUCAUGGCCUCCCACAUCUUGAAACAAACACAAGCAAACAAAACAAAAGCUUGAGUCCCAGCCUGAUUCACCAGGUUUGGUUCCCAAUUGUUGAAAUUCCCUUCCCAGGGCUCUCAGAACCAGGGUUGGCUGGAGGGGUGAAAGAGGCUGGCCCUGAGCCCAGUAAUAGGACACCAAGGGGGAGCUAAAAGCUGGGAUCUGGGGUGAAGAUGGGGUCUUCCAAGCUGGGAGGCAGACACCAGGCCAGAGCAACCGGCCUGCCCCAGCUCAGGCCUCUUAACCCAUGCAGGGCAAGAGUAUAAACAGAGGCCACGGACCACAUGCCUCAGUAUUUAAACUUAUAAAUCAAGCUAACAUAACAUGAAAUCAAAUAUGUUCUAUCCUCCUAGCUUGACAAAUACUUUCAUAACGAGAUGGAAUGCCAGGUUCAGAUUUAGAAUUUUCACACUCCUUAAAGUUCCAAGUCAAAAUACAGCAUUAGGGGAGGGCCCCCAACCUCGAGGUCUCCCCUCCCCCAUUUUCUUUCACUCCCAGCUCUGUCUCACACCACGAGGGAUCUUGGGUGAAUGCCCCUCGAUACCCCAGCCCCCCACAAACAGCUGCCCUUUCCCCCCUUGGCCAAGGGUAAGCACAGCAGCAGGGCAGUCUGCCCUUGGCUGGAGAGAUGGAAGGAGAGGCCACACGGGCCCUGAAAAUGCAUUUGGGGACUCUUGGGCAGGAAACUUGGGAGUUUCUGGAGCCUCAAGGAGGGUCUAGUGGGACAGAGCCACUUGGGCCCAUGAGAUCCUUGACCCAUGGAGAAGGGUAGGGCUAGAGGAGGGCCAGGGCAGGCCCUAUGAACAGAAGAACCUAGAGUAACUGCCCUGUCCCCAGAUCCUGUCACCGAGCAGGUAUACUUGGGAGGGUAUUGGAGGGUGGAACCCAAGGGAGCUUGCCCAAGGCACUAGGAAAGAAAAGUGUAAACCUUGUUAGAGAAUGCUAAGGAUAGCUGUUAAAGCCUCAGAGAUUUUACUCAUUUUUGGCUGUUUCUAAAAAUCUUCCCCCAAAGGAAGAUCUUGCUCUCAUUGAGGAUCUGAGAAAGAAUUCUCUCCAAGUAGUUUCAAAACAUUCUGAUGUAAAAACUCUGGUGUGUUAGUCAAAAAUAAAUUUUGUUGCUUGAUGGCUUCACCAUUCACAAAAUAUUCUAUCCAUCCAAUUUAAAAAUAAGAGCAGGGUAUUUAAAACUCUUUCAAUAAACACAAAUUAAAACAAUGAAGCUUG